UCCCUUCUUGUAAUUCUCCUAUCCAGCGAGGCCUCUUUCAUCGUUCUUGAUUUCCUUUGCGUGGCAUGUGAUUUGUGGCACUCGUGCCUUGUUUAGUGCCGUCCCAGAAUCUAGGAUGGUCAAGUCAUCAGGUGGGCCAUGCUUGUAUUUCAAAUACAGGCCGUUGGUGUGAUUUUCUUUCUAAUUGUAAGUGACUUACAGGUGAAAGUCACUUACAGGUAAAUUGGUUUUUGUGUUUGGGUAGCCUGUAAGUUACUUACAGGUAAGAAGUUGUAUAUUUACAGCUUGGAGUAGGGAAUCAUUUCAAGAUGUUAUAAUCACAUAAAAAAUCCUGACACCAAAUAUAUCAUUUUCUUAAGCCCGCCAAGAGGAAUGUUUAAGCCAAUUCUUAUGCUAUUCCAUGGUGGGCCAUUUUUGAUAUUUUACUUGUAUAAGGUGUAGUGCAUUAAAAUAAUUAAAUAAAAAACUUUACAAUAAAUAAAAAUGGUCCACCUCAAUAGACCGGACGGUGGGGAGCUUUAAUGGUGGACAUUCAAUCACCACUGUUUCUUGUGGUGUGACCCACCUAAGAUUUGGAUAUACUUCAUGUUUGGGCUUGGGCCCUAAAAUGAGCUGGCAAAACUGAUGGAUGGCAUAGAUAUACCAAAAUAAAACACAAA